rnacentral:rRNA from 1 species
GCUUGUCUCAAAGAUUAAGCCAUGCAUGUCUCAGUAUAAACUUCUAUACGGUGAAACUGCGAAUGGCUCAUUAAAACAGUUAUAAUUUAUUUGAUGGUCGCUUACUACAUGGAUAACUGUGGUAAUUCUAGAGCUAAUACAUGCAUCAAACCCCGACUUCUGGAAGGGGUGUAUUUAUUAGAUGGAAACCAAUGCAGGGCAACCUGGAAUAUGGUGAUUCAUAAUAACUCGCGGAUCGGUUUACCGAUGCAUCAUUCAAGUUUCUGCCCUAUCAGCUUUGGAUGGUAGGGUAUUGGCCUACCAUGGCUUUAACGGGUAACGGAGAAUUAGGGUUCGAUUCCGGAGAGGGAGCCUGAGAAAUGGCUACCACAUCCAAGGAAGGCAGCAGG